GCCCCCAUAGUUCAAUGGAUAGAACGGUCCCGUCCUAAGGGAUUGAUCUCCGUUCGACUCGGAGUGGGGGCG
rnacentral:tRNA from 1 species